GUCUGAACCGCAGCAGCUCUUUGUGUUGCCUCGAGACGAAGUUGACGGCGGCGUACUCCAGCAGCGCCGAGAAGACGAAGAGGCAGGCACACGGCCAUCCAGAUGUCGAUGGCCUUCACGUUGCUGCUCAUGGUUUCCAGCUGUGUGUCAGAGUGGGAUGUGCUGGUUCCGUCUGCAGUGACCUCCCGUGGACCCCGGCCGCUUUAAAGGUCAGCCGUGCCCCGGUCCCGACCUCUGCAGGAGCCUGAAGGAUGGAGUGGAUGUGGCGGCGAAGCAGAUGUUGGCUUUUUUGCAGGAGCCACUGAGAUUCCGGUGCCCUUCUUCAAGCGGACGUCACACAGCGUCGCUUGGUUUCUGCAUCUCAGCCCAUGCGAACAACCAGCAGAGCCACAGAGGCUGCCAACGGGAGCACUGGAAGCUCAGUCGCUCAACUCUGGCUUUGAGACGCCCGCGUGGAAAGCGCCGCUGACGUCAGAGACGCAGCAGUCAGGUCGUUCUCUAAUUGCGCGUUUGUGUGAUGACGCCUGAACAAUGACUUAUUCAGAGCCGUGUAACAUGCUGGAGUGCAAAGCUCUGUUGAGCUCUGGGAACACGAGAAACCUUUAUACACAUGCAUGUAGCCGAGGUGUCCGUGUCCAGUGUGAGCGCCGGCGGUGCUAAUAAGGUUUAUGUAACGCGGCGCUCCAUGUCGCAGCUUCCCUCAUGCAUACUAAACCAACAGGCUCCGUCUCACACGCGCUCCAGAGGACGCGUGCAGCCGACACAAACAUCCAGCCAUGAGCAGAGAGGAGGCCGCCGGUCAGCUGAUACGGGAUCAGGUCACAUGACGCGAACCUUCCCCCGCACGCAUUCAAACAGUGCAGGAACCAGGUCUGCAGGAGAAGCAUCACGCUCCUAAAACGGACCCUAGAGAGUGUGGAGUGUGGAGACACACACACACACACACACACACACACACACACACACACACACACACACACACACACACACACACACACACACACACAGACCUUGGGCAGCGAGGUCCUGGACCCUGAGCUCUGCGUCGUCAUGGUGAGCACAGUGGUGAUGCCAGCGCCACUCUGGCGGGGGCAGCGUCCAUGUUGAUCCAGAAGGAGACCCAGGACAGGAUGACGAUGAGCAGGGAGGGGAUGUACAUCUGGAUCAGGUAGUAGCCCAUCUGCCGCUCCAGGUGGAACCGGACCUCGAUGCAAGUGAAUUUACCUGCAACCCAGCAACGUCUCAGUCAUGUGUUUGUCAAGUCUGUUUAUCACACAGGAUCCUAACUGAGCUGGUUAAUGACACGGCAGCAGACUUUCAUUUACCGCCAGUCAUUAACUGGUGAGAGAUGCUCUAAUGACCAGAACAAAGCCUCAUUACAUCUGUAAACAAAUAAUAAGAUAAGAACCAGGCAACAAGUUGGUAUUAGGUUUAUUGGAUGGAAUGAAAAACCUCCAUUUAUGUCCCAUUACGACACAAUCAGUGAGUCCUUUUUCUCGUUAUAAUUAAUAAAAAUUAUCUGUAACCACA